rfam:Danio rerio chromosome 3, GRCz11 reference primary assembly.
GACGAGGUGGCCGAGUGGUUAAGUCGAUGGACUGCUAAUCCAUUGUGUUCUGCAGGCGUGGGUUCGAAUCCCAUCCAAGUCG